rnacentral:snRNA from 1 species
AAAUAUAGAUUAAAUUUUCUUAG